AGUGAACGCUGGCGGCAGGCCUAAUACAUGCAAGUCGAACGGCAGCACAGCAGAGCUUGCUCUGUGGGUGGCGAGUGGCGGACGGGUGAGGAAUACAUGGGAAUCUGCCCAGUCGUGGGGGAUAACGUAUGGAAACGUACGCUAAUACCGCAUGCGCCCUACGGGGGAAAGCCGGGGACCGCAAGGCCUGGCGCAAUUGGAUGAGCCCAUGUUCGAUUAGCUAGUUGGCGGGGUAAAGGCCCACCAAGGCGACGAUCGAUAGCUGGUCUGAGAGGAUGAUCAGCCACACUGGAACUGAGACACGGUCCAGACUCCUACGGGAGGCAGCAGUAGGGAAUAUUGGACAAUGGGGGCAACCCUGAUCCAGCCAUGCCGCGUGAGUGAAGAAGGCCCUCGGGUUGUAAAGCUCUUUUGUCCGGAAAGAAAAGCAAUCGGUCAAUACCCGGUUGUCUGACGGUACCGGAAGAAUAAGCACCGGCUAACUUCGUGCC
rnacentral:rRNA from 1 species